UGGGGAAUAUUGCACAAUGGGCGCAAGCCUGAUGCAGCCAUGCCGCGUGUAUGAAGAAGGCCUUCGGGUUGUAAAGUACUUUCAGCGGGGAGGAAGGGAGUAAAGUUAAUACCUUUGCUCAUUGACGCUACCCGCAGAAGAAGCACCGGCUAACUCCGUGCCAGCAGCCGCGGUAAUACGGAGGGUGCAAGCGUUAAUCGGAAUUACUGGGCGUAAAGCGCACGCAGGCGGUUUGUUAAGUCAGAUGUGAAAUCCCCGGGCUCAACCUGGGAACUGCAUCUGAUACUGGCAAGCUUGAGUCUCGUAGAGGGGGGUAGAAUUCCAGGUGUAGCGGUGAAAUGCGUAGAGAUCUGGAGGAAUACCGGUGGCGAAGGCGGCCCCCUGGACGAAGACUGACGCUCAGGUGCGAAAGCGUGGGGAGCAAACAGG
rnacentral:rRNA from 1 species